AAAAAUUUAGUUAAAAAAUAACGUUAGCUCGUCAGGCUGAAAUUGCCCUUAAGGUAAUUUUUA
rnacentral:tRNA from 1 species